ACCGCAGUAGCUCAAGUGGUCAGAGCGUCGGGUGGAUAACUCGGAGGUUGGAGGUUCGAGUCCUCCCUGCGGUG
rnacentral:tRNA from 1 species